rnacentral:misc_RNA from 1 species
UCUCCGUAGGUGAACCUGCGGAGGGAUCAUUACACAAAUAUGAAGGCGGGCUGGAACCUCUCGGGGUUACAGCCUUGCUGAAUUAUUCACCCUUGUCUUUUGCGUACUUCUUGUUUCCUUGGUGGGUUCGCCCACCACUAGGACAAACAUAAACCUUUUGUAAUUGCAAUCAGCGUCAAUAACAAAUUAAUAAUUACAACUUUCAACAACGGAUCUCUUGGUUCUGGCAUCGAUGAAGAACGCAGC